rnacentral:lncRNA from 1 species
UGGAGGGUGGGGCGCGCACCCGGAGCGGCGAGGUACACGCUGGGGAGCCGCGGGCCUGGCGUAGAGCCGGCCUCUCUUACAAGCGGAGCAGGGUCGGGAAGACGAACGGAGAGUAGCGGGCGUUGGUAUUUACUCUUGCACGGGAGGACGGCUUCCAGGAGCUAUCCUGACUCUUUGUCCUGGGACCUUACGUCUGCUGUCUCGGGUAGCUGCCUGGCUAGCUGCGGAGAUGCAGGAGGCUAGGUCACAUGACCGUGCGCCGCGCAGGUGCACUUUCCUGCGGAGCAGCAGCUUUGGACUGCAGGACGCGAGCCCUUUAAAAAUAUGGAUAGGCUCCCCCAUGCUCCCUUGAAGACACACCGCCUUGCUGUACGCCGCACUGCGCAGUGGCUGAGGAACUAGGCUCAGCUUGCAAAGCUCAGGGCCUCCUGCGAACACCUGCUGAGGGUGGCUGCUGCAAACACCUAGCCUUGGCCUAGCUGCAGCCGCUGCUCUAGAAGUCACCCCGGGCUCCUCGCGAGGCUGCAAGCCAAGACUUCCCACGAUCGCACGAGAAUCCGUGCGACUCUGGUUCCAGUUAAGAUCGCCUAUUGAGGAUCUGUUUGGCUGUGGGCAAGGAAAGAGAGAAAAAGAAAACGUCCGGGAUGGUUUGGUUUGAGGGGAAGUGAAAUACGGGACCUGAAGCUUCGUCUGGGUCUCCUUCCCUCCUUUAACCCAGUGUCUGGAUCCAGGCGGUCACCGACCUGGUUCCUCGAGUGCUGUAGCACUGCCGCAUUGUAAUAAGCCUCCUGCCAGAGUGUUGCCAGGUCGAAUUACAAGACGUUAUUGGAAAGCCCUUUGCGCACUCCAAACCUGCAGCACGGCUCUUAGUUCGCUGUGCUCUUUGGGAUUCCAUUGGCACUUUUUUUUUUUUUUUCAAAAUAAGAUUGAUAUGUGCCUGCUCAAAUUAAAAUGCUUGUCUCAGAUGACAUUCUUGGCAGGAGCAACGUAGUCACAGACCGAAGAGAGGGCUAAUUUCAGUAGAGAUGCAGCCAGCCUGGAGAUCACUGAGAGAAGAUUAGCUUUUGUUGUGUUUAAUGUUUGAUCGUGGAGGCUGACAGGAACAAGGAAGGGUGUGAUAGGGAAGGAGGCUGGAGUGACAGUAUGGAACACUUCCGUUUCCUUGGUGACACGCCUGGUUUUUUUUGGUUUGUUUUUUUUUUUCUGUUCUCUAGAGGAACAGAACUUACAAAAUGAAUAUAUACAUAUGGAAAGAGUAUGUAUUAGAAUACCUCACAGGCUUUGAUCAAGUUAGUCCAGCAAUGGCUGUCUACCCACAGAAGGUCCAGGAAUUCAGUAGUUGUUCAGUACUGAAAGCUGAAUGUCUCAUCUGGUCUUCAGCAUACGCUGGAAUCUCAAGCAGGCUAUAAUGUGAGUGAAGGAAUGGACUUGCUAGUGAGACAGCAAAGAGCAAAAACUUCCUUAUUCCGUGUCCUUUAAAUAAGCUGCCAACAAGUGUGCCCCAGAUUAAAGGUAUGUCUUCCUACCUCAGAAGAUCCACAUUAACCGUGUCUCUUCCCACCUCAAAAGGUCUGGAUUAAAGGUAUAUUUUUUUUACCUCAAAGAUCCAUAUCAAAUGGUUUAAUUAAGCAGAAAUCCAUCACUGGUGGGCCCAUCCAUUUUGGAGUUUUGAUUCCUGAUGUCAAGUUGACAAAAAUGGCCUUCACAUCUGCCUAGCACUUACUGACAUUUUGGGACCUGGUAACUUGGGGAAAAGAGUAUUGGGUUGUUUUGCUUGAACCAGGGCCUCACUAUCUAGCUGGGUAAGCCCACGCAGGCCUGUAAUUUAAGGUCUUCCUGUGUAAGCCUCCCCAAUACCUGGCCUCGUGCAUGGUAGGGCAUUUGGUGUCAUCCUUGGCUUCUACCUAUCUGAGGCCACUUGCAGACCCAACUGACCAAUCAACCCUUCAAGCCUUGCUUUCUCCCACUUCUUCACAACCUCAGGUUUAAAUUUGCCUCGACUGAUGGUCUCCAGCAACCUGUCAAAAAUAACACGGGCUACAUUCUAGAUUUAUGAAUGCCUAAAUUGGACUCAGGGACAGAGUUGGUUUUUGUUUUUAAGAUGAGGUCUCAUAUAGCUCAGGCUGGUCAGAACUUUUAUACAGCCAAAGACAAUCCUGAACACCAUUCUCGUCCACCUGCCGCUCUCCUACCAAGAGCUGGGGUGGCAAGCACAUACCAGCUCACAGAUCAAAUUGCUGGGCAGUGGUGGUGCCGUGCUGUGUGUCUCAGCACUCGGAAGUGAAGGCAGGUAGAUUUCUGAGUUCAAGGCCAGUCUGCUCUACAUAGAGUGGCCCUGUCUUAAAAAACAAAACAGGAAAAAAGAAAAAAAAAAGUUCUUCGGACUUGGCAGCAAAUGCUUUUAUCUCUGCUGGCUUCAAAAACAUUUCUGUGUAGCUAAAGCAAAUGCAACAACUAGUGAAUCCAAGUGAUAGGUCUGUUAAUUGUCCCUUCAGGCUUCUCUGACUUUUCUGAAUAACUGAAAAUUCUCGUAAUAUGACAUUACUCAAAUAGGUUCAAAGUUAUUUUAUGAACAUUUAGUAUCCUUAGCCAGAGGGCCUACAUACAAUUUUUCUCCCACCCCAAGCUGGUUGAUUAUGCCAGCUAGUUUUAUGUCAGCUUGACCCAAGCUAAAGUCAUCUGAGAGGGAAUCUCAAUUAAGAAAAUGCCUUCAUAAGGAUCAAGUUCUAAGCAUGAAUUUCUGUAGGGCAUAGUCUUAAUUAGUGAUUGAUAGGGAAGGGUCCAGCGCUUUGUGGGUCCCUCCCUUGGGCUGGUGGUUCUGAGUUCUAUAACAAAGCAGGCUGAGAAGUCAGGCGUGGUGGUGCACGCCUUUUAUCCCAGCACUCGGGAGGCAGAGGCAGGCAGAUUUCUAAGUUCUAGGCCAGCCUGGUCUACAAAGUGAGUUCCAGGACAGCCAGAGCUAUACAGAGAAACCCUGUCUAGAAAAACCA